CUUGAACGCUGGCGGCAGGCCUAACACAUGCAAGUCGAACGAGUGGCGGACGGGUGAGUAAUGUCUGGGACACUGCCUGAUGGAGGGGGAUAACUACUGGAAACGGUAGCUAAUACCGCAUACCAUCAGAUGGGCCCAGAUGGGAUCAGCGUGUUGGGGGGGUAACGGCUCACCAAGGCGACGAUCCCUAGCUGUUCUGAGAGGAUGACCAGCCACACGUGAACUGAGACACGGUCCAUACUCCUACGGGGGGCAGCAGUGGGGAAUAUUGCACAAGGGGCGCAAGCCUGAUGCAGCCAUGCCGCGUGUAUGAAGAAGGCCUUCGGGUUGUAAAGUACUUUCAGCGGGGAGGCGUUACCCGCAGAAGAAGCACCGGCUAGCUCGGUGCCAGCAGCCGCGGUAAUUC
rnacentral:rRNA from 1 species